AUCAAAUCGCCAUAUCAUUAUAUUUUUCUUUCUAAACAGUAAUGCCUUCUCGGGGCACAGACAGUGGUCAAAAGGUUUAACAAUAUACCGUAAAGUGAGUGUUUGGUCGUAACUACGUGUGUGGUUCUGAUAUGUAAGCUCUCAGGGUUUAAGCUUCCUCUCACCCAAUGACAGCUGGGCUCCAGCACCCCUGCGACCUUCAGAGGACAAGCAGUUCAGAAGAUGGAUGAACUAGUCUCACCUCCAGCUUGUAGUGCGAGGGGUGAGAUGGAGCCCAAGCUCUUCCUCAUUGUCUGCCUAGCUUUGAGACAGAGGCUUUGAGGCCAAGAGCUGUGCCCAGACUUGGGGGAACAAUGGAAAAAUACCACUGGAGUUCUUUGAUAAUAAAUGAAUCAUCAUUUGAAACUUUUCCCAAUGAUGUCAUGGCGAGGAUGAGCUUUGUUACUGAGCUCUUUCUGUUCUGUUUAGAGCUAAGCUACACAAAUUGUGAUUCCCAAUGUAAAGAGUAGGAUGUUUUUUAAUUAGUUUUUUUGCUGAUGCUGUUUGGUUUAUACUGUAUCAGCAUCACAUACAGUGACUAUCCUUCAGUGCACCGGGUGUCCAUGGUUUAGUACAGUAUUUGUUUUCACUGCACAGUUGAAAUUCACAUUAUUUGAGAGGAGAUAUUUGCCUUGAACUUGAAAAUUGGAGAAUAAAGAUUGUGGCACUUUGUCGCCUAUGUUGGCUUAUGUAUUUUUGAAAAAUGAAUUUGGACAAUGCUAUUUUUUCAUCUUGUGUUAUUGAUAGCGUCAAAUCAAAAACACUGUACAAAAUUCAAAACAGAAAAGAACAUUAUUUUGCAAUGGUUACAAUAAAUCAUACCGUUUUUAAUUCCACUGGUAUAUGCAUUAAAUCAUCUCAUGAACCCUUCAGAUCUGUGUGAUCUUUUGUGGUGUCUGGACAGGGUGUUUGCAGAAGAACCCAUAAAAAAAACUGUUUUCAUAAUGUGCCAGCAAACUUGCUUUAUGCUUCAGAAAACAUACAGCUUGUCUUGAUCCACACAAGAGCAUGAGAAAGCAGAGCUAUUUUGUUAUGUCUUCUUCGAGUGCACUCUCUCCGGUUGUUUUCCGUUGUUUGUUCGUUUUCACCUGCACUUUGUGAUACAGUAUCUAAAACAUUCUGGGAAUCCAAAAGAAGCCCUGUAUGGACAUGCAGGAGUGGAGACGUACUGUAUAGUGGAAGGGAGAAUGGGACAAGAGGCAUGAAGAUAGAGGUGGAAUGCGAAGCGGCUACAGGUGGAAUGACUCUCUUCAGAUAAGACUGAUGUGGCUGUCGCUUAAUGUGUUUGAUAAUAUCUUUGGGCCUGUCUGCUCUCCUGUCGCGUCACCUGACUGUGGCCUCCUUAACCCGAUGUCAGCAACUUAACAUGAAACUGAUGGUGUCGUCAGAUACCUGCAUAAAGUACUGAGGUUUUGGUCAAAUUUGUUGCCACUAAAACGUUUGUGUGUUGUUAUGGGUGUUUAGUGGCAUAUUAAUUAUAUUGUUCUUGUUUGUUGAUUUGUCAUUUUUUUCAUAUGUUAAUGGGUCUGUAAACUACACACUCAAGUACAGCUUGUUCCAGAUGAUGAAUGCUUUGAAUGUGUGAAUGCGCUGGAAAAUAAUACGAGUAAUUUUGGAGCAAAGCUCUGCUGAGUGACAGUACUACAGCCUCUCCCUGAUGGAGUGGAGAGUGAUAAAGUGCUCCCGUUAGGCGACACAAGAUUUUAAUAACUGC